rnacentral:rRNA from 1 species
GUCCACGCCCUAAACGAUGUCUACUAGUUGUCGGGUCUUAAUUGACUUGGUAACGCAGCUAACGCGUGAAGUAGACCGCCUGGGGAGUACGGUCGCAAGAUUAAAACUCAAAGGAAUUGACGGGGACCCGCACAAGCGGUGGAUGAUGUGGAUUAAUUCGAUGCAACGCUAAAACCUUACCUACCCUUGACAUGUCAGGAAUCUCGGAGAGAUCUGAGAGUGCCCGAAAGGGAGCCUGAACACAGGUGCUGCAUGGCUGUCGU